GGGGAAUUGUUCGCAAUGGGCGCAAGCCUGACGACGCAACGCCGCGUGGAGGAUGAAGAUCUUCGGGUCGUAAACUCCUGUCGAGCGGGACGAAUGCUUUGCGGCUGAAUAAUCCGCAGAGGUGACGGUACCGCUAAAGGAAGCCCCGGCUAACUCCGUGCCAGCAGCCGCGGUAAUACGGGGGGGGCAAGCGUUGUUCGGAAUUACUGGGCGUAAAGGGCUCGUAGGUGGCCAACUAAGUCAGACGUGAAAUCCCCAGGCUCAACUUGGGAACUGCGUCUGAUACUGGAUGGCUUGAAUUCGGGAGAGGGAUGCAGAAUUCCAGGUGUAGCGGUGAAAUGCGUAGAUAUCGAGAGGAACACCUGCGGCGAAGGCGGGUUGCUGGGCUGACACUGACGCUGAUGCGCGAAAGCUAGGGGAGCGAA
rnacentral:rRNA from 1 species